rnacentral:rRNA from 1 species
UACAGAGACUGCAAGCGUUAUUCGGAUUCACUGGGCGUAAAGGGUGCGCAGGCGGCCAAGUGUGUUAGGCGUGAAAGCCUGAGGCUUAACCUCAGAAUUGCACCUAAAAACUACAUGGCUAGAGCAUUGGAGAGGGUAGCGGAAUUCACGGUGUAGCAGUGAAAAUGCGUAGAUAUCGUGAGGAACACCAGAGGCGAAGGCGGCUACCUGGACAAUUGCUGACGCUCAGGCACGAAAAGCGUGGGGGAGCAAAAAGGGG